GCCGAUAAAGCCAAACCACGAGUAAUCGUGGGACGGAAAGCCACGGGUCCCAAAUCACCGGGAUAGCCGGGUUGCCGAAG
rfam:Deltaproteobacteria bacterium RBG_16_48_10 RBG_16_scaffold_1392, whole genome shotgun sequence.